rnacentral:lncRNA from 1 species
AUUGGCCAAUUCUUUACACCUGAGCUCAAUUCUUGGUAGAUCACUGCUCUUAAUCGGUGUAGCCACAUCUAACACUUUGAUUUUGGUAAAACUUGGUUGAAAAACCCAAAUGCAAAGACAGUAAAAGCAAUCAAACUGACAUGACUUCAAACAAAACUGGAAUGAUGCUUAAAUCAUGUAAAUGACUCAAAAUCAGUAAGGAAAACCGAAUGAAAAUGAUAAAGACUCAAAGGCACAAUAUAGAAAUUGGAAACCUAUUUGAAUAGAAAUGAAACUCAAUCAGAGAAACAAUCAAGACAGUGAAGGCAAUGCAAUGAACAACACGGAAAUAGAACGAAACAGCACAAAAUACUUAGAAUCAUAGCAAGACAAAAGAAGAUGAACUCAAAACAGACAAUACUGAAUCAAAAUAGAAAACUAAAAACAGAUUCAAAAAUCAAAGAACAGAGACAAAGAUACUUAGCUUUGAAGCGUGGACACAACCUGAUGCUCUGAAUACCACUUGAUACGAUCUCGGUCACGACAGAUC